rnacentral:siRNA from 1 species
CAAAACCGUUACUAAUAUAUGUGA